UGCCAGCGCCGCGGUAAUACGUAGGGGGCAAGCGUUGUCCGGAUUUAUUGGGCGUAAAGAGCGUGUAGGCGGCCAUACAGGUCCGUUGUGAAAACUGGAGGCUCAACCUCCAGACGUCGAUGGAAACCGUAUGGCUAGAGUCCGGAAGAGGAGAGUGGAAUUCCUGGUGUAGCGGUGAAAUGCGCAGAUAUCAGGAAGAACACCCGUGGCGAAGGCGGCUCUCUGGGACGGUACUGACGCUGAGACGCGAAAGCAUGGGGAGCGAACAGG
rnacentral:rRNA from 1 species